AGAAAUAGAAUAGAUAAACGUGAAACAGGGGAGAAAGAAGGAGAAAAAAAAAAAGGAAAGAAAGAAAAGGGAAAUUUGAAGGUUUGAAGCUUUAAAGUUUAAUUGCUAACAAGAAAAACGAGGCAUCGGCAUCUAAAGAAAAAGAAAAGAUCGUUAAGGAGUUAGCUCGAGAAAAUACGGUUAAGUAAAGAUAGAACGUUGAAUCAACAUCCCAGGCCGAUCCCGAAUUCAUUAAGGUAAAGUGUGUUAAUUAUUAGUAAUGGCAUGUACCUAGGGUGUCUUAUGUGUGUGACAUAUUUGAAAUUGUAAAUAUAAGAAUGAAAUAAUUAGAUUUAGGUUUGGUUAUGAUAUAUAAUAGAAUUUGGUUAAUUUAGCAUAAAAUUGAUUUAUUUGAUGAUAUUUGAUAUUUAAAUACAAUUAAA